UCCAAUACGCACCCUCCUUCCCCUCUGUCGAAGUAGCAGGCAAGAAGGAACUGAGGUGGUGGUGGGUCGGCAGGGCUCUAUAUUGAGCGCCAUGAAGGCACGACUCCAGGGGGCGCCCGGACCGACCCGACAGAUGCGGUUAUCGGGAAAAACUUCUGGCUACAGUGCACGUGCGCGCGCACACACACCUGAUUGGAGUGGACAUAACAACACAUCUCGAAGAACAACAGUUACGACAAGCAAUCACAGCUUGUACGCCAAUGAUAAUCUUGCCUCCCACUAAAUAAGAACAGCAGCAGAGGCAGAUAUUGACCCCCUCCUUCACUUCAAGGAAAACUUGGAU